UGAACUGAACAGGAAUUCUGAAGCUGCUGGUAUGUGGACCCCAGCCCACGGUGUGUGUCAGAGGCACUGUGAGCCCCUCGCUGCCAUACAGCAUUGCUUGUCCAUGCUGCUGGCCAGGGUGAGAGUCCUUUGCUUUCAUCUGACUCCAUUACCCCAACGUGGCUUAAUGGAAUUCUGGGGUCGUUUAAAUUCACCUUAUUUUGAAAGAAGGCCAAAGUGCUGACUGUGUGCACAAUGGCCUCUAGCUUUGAUGUUCUUUGUUUGCAAAGAUGUCUACUGAGAAGGCCUCCUAACCUUUGAGUCAGGCUGCAGCUGCUCACCCUGUAACUACUGUGCUGAAGCAGGCAAGGUACAGGGAGACAGAUGAGGACCAAGCAGGGCCCCCAGAAGAAAGAACAUCACCAUGAACUCCAAACCAGCCAAUGCAAGCCAAACCAACUCACAGAUGGAGAAAUAACCAUGGCCUGGGACUCCCAGAUCCAGUACAAUAGCAGACUCGAAGCUCUCAGGACAAAAACUCUGACUUGACUGUAUCUUGUAACCCUGAUUGCUGGACCCAAAGACGUUAUUAGUAAAUAUGGAUUGACUGACAGAAGAAUCCAGACUGCACAAGGCAGAUGGGUGGGCAGAUGGCCACCUUCCAAAUUACCUGAACACCGUUAUGAGGCAUUGGUCAUGAGGUCCUCCAGCUACUAGGCAAAUACUGAUUUCUGUGCUUUCUGUGUGCCAGGCCCUGGGGACCAAGGAUGGGUGGAACAGGAUCCCUGUGUGUCUGGGGGGAGGAGAACACACGCACGACUGGCCCCCAUAAGCACCCUCAUCAGUGCCCCAGGCAGGUGCUGCGGGGCAUGAGGAGACGCAGGGUGGAGGUGGGAAGGGGCCAGGCCUCCCUCGUGGGCAGAGGCGCAGGGAGUUGCUGGGGCCGGUGUGGGCUCAGCCAUCUGGGAUGGCGGGUGGGAGGGUACUGUGAAGAGGAAACAAGCCUGAAUGAAAAGAUGGGGCAGAAAGACAUUUUGUGAGGGGCCCCCAAUAACCUGUGGCAGAGAGAGGCUUCAGACUGCAUUCUACAAACUGAAAUGACAACUUCAAGAUGGCUCUUUUGUCUGUGCGACUCACUGCCUUCUGGGAAGAGGACCUGCUGUCUUCUAGGAAUUAUUCCUUCUGCUCCAACCACAAACUUCACUGGAGCUGCCAUCAUUCCAACAUGAUCCCAGCUCCCUAGAGCCAGCUCAAGAUAAGCCAGUGGGUGAUUUCCUGACAUCUUUUGGAAGAAGCGGUUCUGCCUAGAAGGGAAGAAUGCAGACACGGUGGCGAUGGGCACUUUGGGGGCAUUUCAGCUGUGAGACCCAGAUGCUACUGCCCUGCCUGCAGGUCAGCUGUUCAACUCUUCUCUCAAGAACACUGGACAUCCCAAGAGUGUCUCAAUAAACUGAAAGAGCUUCCUCCUUUCAAUUAAAAGAUAGAACAAGUUGGACUUGUGCAGCCUGCAACCAAGAGUGUCCUAAUGUCACCGAAUACAACCCCUGACUGAAAUACAGUCCUCAGCGUCCUUUAGUUUAGCUAUUAAACACCACUAUGAAAAAACACCUUCCCUCCACCACUUCCUUCCCUCACUUCAAAGAAGCAAUAUUCUGAAAUUACAAACAAGAGAUUCAACUUAAUAGAGGGGGACACUGUGAGGGAACAGUUUACUCUGCAAAAGUAAUGAUGGCAUCCUUGGUGGAGAAGGUUUGCCGUGAGGUUAGAUACAAUUAUGGAGAGUUCGGGAUGAAUCUUUCAUUCCUGACAUGGAGGGAAAGACCUCUUACUGUGAGCCUGGCUCCCCUGGAGAGGUUUCAAUCUUUCUUAGAAAGUACAAUCAAGUCCUGGGAAAAUGAAAAAGGAAUAAAUUUGAAGUUCUCCUGAACAGUUUUCAUAGAAGAUCCAACAGUGGCUGUAACUUUUGUUAACGCUUCCGUAGCAGUGAUUUAAUGAAAAGUUAUAUGAACUCACCACUCUAAUAAAGGGGUCUUCCUUCUUCCUUUUCAAAAAAUUUCCUAGCAGGAACUUUGGCUGGCUGAUGUUUAUCACCUUAGUAGAUAAAUAUUUGUUGAGUGAAUGAAAAUCAAAUACAAAAAGACACAAACACAAGAAAGUUACACUCUGAUCUGUUUUACUGCUGUAGUAACAGUGCCCGACACAGAGGCCUUGUUUAAAAAGAUGGGUUUUAUUAUUAUUCGUAUGGGGAGGUCAACAGAUCAGGAGACGACUACCAUCGAAAAGACAGUUUAUUAUUCAUAGACCCCAGGAGGGGGCAGCCACGCUGUACAGGACCACGUGGGGAGGCAGAAGGAGCGAGGGUACGUAUGGGCAAGAACCUUGACUGUGGCUUUUCCUGGAAGAAGAGGCAGGGUAGGCAGCUGAGUGGACUUAGGAUUGGCUACUUUGAAUCAUUUCAUUUGGUUUAUGAUUAGCUACUUUGAGUAAUUCCAAUGGAAUUACUGGAUUAGCUACUUUGAAUAAUUUCAGUAGGUUUCGGAUUGGCUACUUUGAAUCAUUUCAGUGGUUUUAGGAUUAGCUACUUUGCGUAAUUUCAGUGGGUUUAGGAUUGGCUACUUUGAGUAACUCCAGUGGGUUUAGGAUUGGCUACUUUGAAUCAUUUCAGUGGGUUUAGGAUUGGCUACUUUGCAUAAUUUCAGUGCGUUUAGGAUUGGCUACUUUGAAUAAUUUCUGUGCGUUUAGGAUUGGCUACUAUGCAUCAUUUCAGCAGGUUUAGGAUUAACUAUUUUGCAUAAUUUCAGUGGGUUUUGGAAUUGGCCACUUUGCAUUAAAUUCAGUGGGUUUAGGAUUGGCUACUUUGAGUAAUUUCAGUGGGUUUGGGAUUGACUGCUUGCAUUAAUUUCAGCAGGCUCUAGCAUGUGGGGGUUGUCCUUAAUUCUCCGAUGCCCUGGGGUGAUCAGGGCUGGGGAAUUUCUGCCUGGGGUGUGACAGCCCAUAAAGGAGGUGGCUGGGUGUGGCUCUGGAUUGGCUGGUUUGUAUAGGAAAGGUGUACUUGCAGGCUAGUCCUUCACUAUCUCUAGAAAAUUUACUAUUUUUAGACAUUGGCCAGCCCUGGGAGGGGCAGUCCCUCCAGGGUCAGGAAGGCCCCAAAAUUCUGUCAAAGCAUCAGAAAAACAUGGUUAAAUACAGGCUUUUGC
rnacentral:lncRNA from 10 species